GUGGACAGGCUGUCUGUCUGUCUGUGGAUCCACUGAAUGCACCGUAGAGAAACAGGAUGUAUUAUUUGGACUCUGGUGCAUAAAUCCUGGCAGACUUGCAGGCUGUGGGGCAAAUCUGCAAGCAGGUGGUGCUUCUCUUAAAGGGUAUUAACUGCCUCUAAAUAUACCUGCAUUUUAGGACAAGAUCGUCUGGAAAAUACCAAAUUUCUUUAAAAUUGUUUUGAAGGAAGUUGUGUGUCUCCAUUUACAGACUGCUUGGAGGAUACAGUUUUAAAAGUCUUAAGAGGAUUAGCUAAUGCAAGACAAGGCUCGUUGUCCACCUCUUCAACUACGAGGACUCGGUGUUCCACGCUCAGGGAACAUCACGCACGUAAGUUCUUCAACAAACACUUUUGCAAACACAAUCCACAGUUGGAACAUUUUGAUCUGUGGGUCAUGUGAUGGAAAUAGGGACAAAGUGCCAACAAACACUGGCUUGAGCAAAAAUGUGGACUGUGGACUGGGAGGAGGCAUUGCCCUUCCAAGGUGUAGCUGAAGCUUGUAGCAGUGUGGAGCUGGGACUGACGCUUGUGACCGGCUGCAGGUCACACUGCAUCGGCGAUGUAAGUCACCAGUGCCAAGACAUAUGAGACUGCUGGUUUUCACAGCAUCUAUCACUGUUCUGAACAAAGCUUACUGUAAGUACUCGAUUUUGUAAGGCAGCCUUUCCGGUAAAAUCUUUCUUUCCUUAUAUUCACAACUGUGUAUGAUGCGUGACAGGUGGGUUGCUUAAGAAUCAAGAUAAGUUAUAUAUUACUAGACUGAUUGUCAUAAACAACUAUGGCUUUCAUUUUUAUGUUUCAGUCAUAAAUUACUUCAUGUGCUAUUUUCUUGACUUAUCAGUCACUGCAAACAUGAAAGCAGCUGUUUUGUAGGUAAGGGAGAUUUGGAAACCAAAACAAAAAUCAGUGGCAAAACAUACUAAGACUAAAGAUAUAAUGGGGCAAUGACUGUUAAUGCUGAUGGUUGGGAGAGAUCCCUGGGCCUUAUCAUUACUCUCUCAAGUUCCUGGAACAUGAAAGAAGACAUAUAAAAAAACGAGGUAAUAGUUCUCUGAAGCGAAAAGGAAUAGAAGCCUAAAAUGCUACUUGCCGUUGUGCAUAUGCCUAAGAAAAACUCUAGGUUCUUCUGUGUUCAUAGUAUUUGAUUCUCCUCUCAUGGCUUCUGGCUCAUUUCUCAUGUUGAGUUUCUGGGUAAAGUUCUGGCUAAAGUUAACGUUGUUGUUCUGGGAUGGUAUUUCUGGAUUAAAGAAAAGGGGUUUUGUUGUGUCAGGGUGGAUCAAAGUAUAAGAUUCAUUGGCCGUAGGAGACAGUCGUGCUGGAGGUUAUCGCUUUUGGAAGAAAACUAAGCCUGAUUUAGGAGCAGAGUUUCUAUGAUUAUUGCAGUAUAAAUACAGUCUAAGAAGGACCCUGAUGGUGGUCACAUCACUAAAACAGAAUACAACUGCCUGUCCUUCAUCCAUCAAGUAAGCUGUCCGUAAGCUGGUUGGGCUUUGAGGACAAAUUGCGUAAGGAUUUUGAAAAUUUUGCCUUAAACAGAAAUUGGUGCAUCUGAAGGAGCUGUUACAUGUACUCGUGAGGUUCUACAAAUGGUUUAGCAGAUACAUGGAAUAUUGUUUGUGAUCUUAUUUCCAGAAGGUCUUUUGUCCCAUAGCACCAGACAAGAAGGUUCUUCAGCCCUCACAGAAAAAUAAAUUCCUAAAGCACAUUUCUGGUUCCUCAGAAGACUGAAUAUAAACCUGAAUAGAAAAAUUUUUGAAGCCUACAAGGGUAGCACCAUUGUAUCCCUUGCUGGAGUUAACUGUGGAGGACAUUGUCAUACUUCUCCUUAUUUCUCUUUGGAAAGACUUUGGCAGCAGAGGCAUAGGGAUUAUACCAGAGUCAGCGUCUUUCCACUUUUCCAAAACACAGCAAAUCUUAUUUCCUGGUCUGUUCACAGCUUUUGAAUGGUCUAUUGCAUAGUCAAUGAUAUAUUUAGCCAUCCACCUCUGAGCAAUUUGAAUACUGAAUACUCCUUUUCCCCUCAAAAAAAAUCCCACCUAUGA